rnacentral:rRNA from 1 species
AGGACGAACGCUGGCGGCGUGCUUAACACAUGCAAGUCGAGCGGAAAGGCCCUUCGGGGUACUCGAGCGGCGAACGGGUGAGUAACACGUGAGCAAUCUGCCCUUAGCUUCGGGAUAGCUCCGGGAAACCGGAAUUAAUACCGAAUAUGACUUCGGCCGACAUCGGCCUUGGUGGAAAGUUUUUCGGCUAGGGAUGAACUCGCGGCCUAUCAGCUUGUUGGUGGGGUAAUGGCCUACCAAGGCGACGACGGGUAGCCGGCCUGAGAGGGCGACCGGCCACACUGGGACUGAGACACGGCCCAGACUCCUACGGGAGGCAGCAGUGGGAAUAUUGCGCAAUGGGCGAAAGCCUGACGCAGCGACGCCGCGUGGGGGAUGAAGGCCUUCGGGUUGUAAACCCCUUUCAGCAGGGACGAAGCGAAAGUGACGGUACCUGCAGAAGAAGCGCCGGCUAACUACGCGCCAGCAGCCGC